CCCUUCACCUGGGGCUAGGCUCAGGUUCUCUUCACCGGGACUCACAGAGGCGUACAGGUCUUCGGCCUCAACUUUGGAGAGUCUAAAGAAAAUGAUGUGAGUACAUACAUCAGUGCUUGAUGACAAACAGGUGAAAAGUAGCAGCAUGGGACCCAGCAAUUUCAUUCCUGAUGAACUUUUUUUUGUAGUUGGGAAAUUCCACGAAUCCUGGUGCUUCUGUGCUUAGAGGAUUUAACAGAAUCAAACAGCAUCUGACAGCCUCACACAUGGACCCAAAAAA